UGAGGAAUAUUGGUCAAUGGGCGAGAGCCUGAACCAGCCAAGUAGCGUGCAGGAUGACGGCCCUAUGGGUUGUAAACUGCUUUUAUGUUGGGAUAAAGUGCGUGACGUGUCAUGCAUUGCAGGUACCACAUGAAUAAGGACCGGCUAAUUCCGUGCCAGCAGCCGCGGUAAUACGGAAGGUCCGGGCGUUAUCCGGAUUUAUUGGGUUUAAAGGGAGCGUAGGCUGUCUAUUAAGCGUGUUGUGAAAUUUACCGGCUCAACCGGUGGCUUGCAGCGCGAACUGGUCGACUUGAGUAUGCAGGAAGCAGGCGGAAUUCAUGGUGUAGCGGUGAAAUGCUUAGAUAUCAUGACGAACUCCGAUUGCGCAGGCAGCUUACUGUAGCAUAACUGACGCUGAUGCUCGAAAGUGCGGGUAUCAAACAGG
rnacentral:rRNA from 1 species